GCCCACGUUUUUCUCUGCGCUGCCCCUUGCAGAGCGGCCCGGAGCCCAGCGCCGCCCCGCGUAGGAAGGGCAAGAAGGGCAAGGGGAAAGGCAAGCGCAAGGGGAAAGGCAAGAAGAGGAGGAACAAGGAGCUGCAGGAGCAGCACGAGGCCUCCGAGCCCUCUGCCGUGGCCAACCAGGCCAGCGCGCCCACGCCGACGCCGCCGUCUCUGGAGGACGGCUCCCCGCCGCCGGUCACCUCCAGCCUGGCCACCACCGUGAGCGUCGCCCUGAACCGCACCGACCCCUUCGAGGACGCUGGCGAGGAGCUCGUGCUGGAAUCCGGGGAGGACGGAGCCGCUGGGGCUGCCAGCGCGGAGCUGCCAGGCUACGAGGACUACUACGACGGGGACCCUGCGAGCCCGGAGCGGUUCGGCCCGGCCGAGCGGGAGGAGACGGUGAUCCGGGCUCCCCAGGUAACGCUGGGGACGAGGACCGGGACCCCCUCCAGCCACGGCCGGACGAGCUGGGGCCACGGUAUGGGGUCCGGGGGCCGUGCAGGCGGUUCGGAGCUCUGCCCCGAGCUCGCGGCCGCGUCCCCUCACCGCGGCGCCGCGCUGCGUCCCGCAGGAGCCCAGCCUGAAGGGGGACAAGGGCGAGCCGGCCGUCGUGGAGCCGGUGAGUGGGGUACGGCCGCUCGGGGACGCGUGGCGCCCUGCUGCAAGCCACCCGUGGCUGGUGGCUCGCAGGACAGGGCGCAGGGACGCGCCGCGCUCACUCCCUUCUCUUUUAGGAUCGGCGAUUUGAGGGGCCGCCGGGACCCCCGGGCCCUGCGGUAA
rnacentral:lncRNA from 1 species